UCUCUCAAAAUCUCUCAAAAUUCCUGAGAUUUAAAAUACACUCGACUCCCCAGAAAUCACUCGAGGACUAAACCCCUGAAAAUUUCUUCUCUUCUCCUCUCUAAACUUCUGGUGAUUUUGGUUCGAGUUAGAGAACGCAAAGAAAGGAUGGGGUUUACCUGAAUUGGAUGUUGCAGCAGUUAAAUCUGAUGAACGGAGAGUGUUUUGGUCUGUGUUAGGGUUUGAAAUUGAAUCAGAAUCGAGAGAAAAAGGGGAGGCGCUGUUAAUGGAGAAAACAUGAGCAUUCAAAGAGAUAAAUUGAGAAGAUAAAGAAGAGAUAUCUUCCAUAGAUGGAGAAUGGAUUUGUGUUUGAAUCACUUGAUUUGGAAGAAGAAACCAGAAAAGAAAUUGGUGGUGAUGUUCUCAGUUGAUGAAGAAGAUGAAGAGGUUUAAAUGAGUGUUAGAACAGGGGUUAAUGCUGCUAAUUUCAGAGACAAAGAGAUGAGGGUUUGCAAGAAUUUCAGAAAUCAGAGAUGGUGUUUGUUGGUGGUUUUGGGUAUAUUUCUAGACUGAAAAGAACAACAACAUUCUUGUCUCAUUCCCAGCUUCCAAUCAAGAAGAAAAGGUUGGGUAUCUUCAAUUUAAUCCUUCGAAUUUUAAAUUUUCUUUUCUUAUAUUGUUUUCAUUCACUGAUCAUAUCAAAUUUCUCAUAAAAACUCCAAAUUUCACACAAAGAAUUCAAAUUUCUUUGGGUAUUUAUGAUUAUACACAAUUAUAGAGACAUUUAGAGGAAUUUUAAGGGUUUAUUGAUAUCAUAAACAUAAGCCCCCCACCCACAUGCCCUAACUGGAAAUUUCUCACCUUGAGAAUGUAGAAAUGAAGGUUUUUUUAGGGAGGUAUCAUAAUGUGUCACAGGGAUGAUAACUAUUGAUAAGACCCACUCGUGUUAUCGACGGUGUGCGAUUUUGGCAUUGAAUUUUUGAAUUAAUGUGCAUUUAUUCGGAGGAAAAGUCUAAUUUUUUAUUGAGUGUGUUGGAGCUGAAGGAUUCGGAGAAGCUUCGGAACAUAAGCAUGUUGAGAUAGAUGAGGAAAAGGAGAGAGUGAAGUUGAAGUUGGAGCUGAAGAAUCCGAAGAAGCUUGGCAUCAGAUGCUGGAGUGUUUAAAUAGCAGGCAUUGGAAAUGCAGGACAUAUCACAAGAAGCUUAUGAGUUGUAUUCUAAAAGGGUUGUGGUUAUCUUGAAGGAGACUUCGGAGAAAUUGAAAAUUCAGGCAGAAAAAUCAAGCCAUGAUUUGAGUAGAUUAGCUAAAAUAUUAGUGUAGAAGGUAAGGAUUAUCUCUUGUCGAUUGCAGAGAAAUCUCCCGAGCAGGUGAAACUUUUGCAACCUCAUCAGCGGAUGAUUGGAAUAAUGUUGACAAAGUUCCUCAUUUUUUCCUUGGCAUUUUAUAUGGUAUUAGGUUUGGUACAAUUCUGGGUGGUGCUCUAUUGACUUUAAGUAUAUCGAGCAUGAGAUCAUUCAAAAGAGGGCACUCAUCCGCUUUGGCUUUGAAAGGGGAAGCAGGCAUAGACACUUCCCCAACGAAGUAGGCAAGUCUAUGCAGCUAAGAAGAAGAUGAUAAGAGAAGAGCCUCAUUUUCCCCAGGAGGAAUGGCAAUACAGUCUCAGUGCAAAAGUAUAAUUAUCGAAGUAGUGUAGUAGUCAUAAGCAAGAGAAUAUUACCACUGUAAUGGAUAAUAAGUAAAAUGAAAAAGAUCUUUCUCCCUUUCACCAAUUUUGGUAGGAUAUAUCAACAUAUAGCUCGCAUUCUCAUAUUCAACUGUAGAGUGUAUAUACAAAUAAAAU